CAGGCAACGUCUUCGUAAUAGCGGCGAUUGUGAUGGAGAGGAACCUUCAGUCGGUGGCCAACUAUCUGAUUCUCUCGCUAGCCGUAGCCGAUCUUCUGGUUGCCUGCCUUGUCAUGCCUCUGGGAGCCGUGUACGAGGUCGCCCACAAGUGGGCGCUCGGGCCUGAGUUAUGCGACAUGUGGACGAGUAGCGACGUGCUAUGCUGCACCGCUUCAAUCCUCCAUCUCGUAGCCAUUGCCCUGGACAGGUACUGGGCGGUGACGAACAUCGAUUACAUCCACCAAAGAACAGGACGUCGCAUAGGCAUGAUGAUAAUUGUGGUAUGGCUGGUUGCAUUUCUCGUUUGCAUAGCGCCGCUCCUCGGUUGGAAGGAUCCUUUAUGGGAGGAUCGCGUUAACAAAGAAAAAAAGUGCGUGGUCAGCCAAGAUGUUUAUUAUCAGAUAUUCGCGACGUCAUCGUCCUUUUACCUGCCACUCUGUGUCAUACUUAUCCUCUACUGGAGGAUAUUUCAAACUGCGAGGAAGCGCAUUAGGAAAAGACCCGGUCAGCCUGUAAAUCCACAAGCGACGCGACCGAUGGGCGGACCACCGAGGCAGAUGGGUAGCAGUCACGCCGUGGGCGGUGCACUUGCCCAAGCCCAAGCUUCCGGCGGUAUCGCCGCAGCCGUCGUAGCAGUUAUCGGCCGACCUCUGCCUACCAUAUCCGUAGAGACAACCACAACAGCAUUCACGAACGUAAGCUCGACGAAUACAUCACCCGAGAAGACAUCGUAUCACAAUGGCUUGGAACCAGAACCAUCGACGAUGGAGGCGUCACCACGACCAACACUUACACGUCGUAAGAAAGUCACCGCUGACUCGAAACGAGAGCGCAAAGCGGCGAAAACACUUGCCAUUAUCACGGGUGCUUUCGUCGUCUGUUGGCUGCCUUUUUUCGUCUUGGCCAUCGUUAUGUCGGCCUGCACGGACUGCUACAUCAACCCCUAUUUAAUUGCCUUCCUACAGUGGUUGGGGUACUUCAACUCGACCCUCAACCCGAUCAUCUACACGGUCUUCUCGCCGGAAUUUCGCAACGCCUUCAAGAAGAUCCUGUGCAGACAUCGUCGUGGAGUGAAUCGGCGCCUACGUGUGCGCCACUACAUGUAGGAUUGGGUGUAUCUGACGGCCCUCUCGCCUCGCGUGCGUAAUAACGACGAGCCGAGUUUACCGAAUACUGCCAUUCGCACGAUCAACGGUCGUCGCAGCCGGCGUAGUCGCCAGAGACGCCAACGAGCCUUUUGAGAGUGCACAGACUCGUUCUCGACUAGGACGGCGGAAAAGAGGGACACACGCCUAUACUCGCGCGCGCUGCUGCAGCUUUCACGAAUUUCUGCCGCUACCGCUUUCUUCUCGCUUUCCAUUUGGCUCGCUUCAGAGUCAAAAAGAAACGUUUUCCAACGGAUUUAUGCCGAAUGGAGCUCGGGCGCGGGCCUUUUCUUCUCCUGUGACAACCGACAACCUACUUUUCGGCAUGCUUUCCAUCCAAAUUGACGCAAGCAUGCCGAUUCUCGUGAUCAUUUCGCGAGAAAGCGAGGCAAUAAAGAAACUGCCGGCAUUUGAAUAAUUAAUCAUGAGUCAGCAGAAGAAUCGCAGGAGAGAAAGGCGAGAGUGGCAGCGAGGCAAGCUUCAGCUCUUUGGCCCAUAAAACAUUCAGAUUUAGCUCCCGUAAAACAACCUGUGGCGCGUGCGUAAUGCCCGAGCUAAAGCCUCGCGCGAACGCGCGUAAAAGCGAGAAGAAAGAAGAAGAGUCGGAUGAUCGCGGCGCAAUAAAAGCGGCGCCGGAUUUAUCUGCAUCGCCAUAAAACGCGCUAGAAGAGGCGAGAGGCCGGCAACGAUCGAGCCGAGUUUGCAGUUUCAAGCGCAAAGAAUUUUCAUCAAAAUACUCUUCUCUCGGCUCGCCAAACCAAAGGACAAGGAAACUCAAACUUAUUCAGCGCAUACGACUGAUGCAAAUGAAUCCCCUAUCGUAGAUAUAGUACAGCAGCCAAACCAAACGAGACGAAGCUUCGCAACGAAGCGCAAGCUCUAUCAAAUUAUCAAAAUGCCGAUGUCUUUUCUACGAUGUUCUAUACGGCGCGCCUUACCUCUUAAGUAUACAUCUUCCCAGUCGUGUACAUAUCGAAAUAAUUAGCCUGAAAGAAGUGCCGCUACCGAAAGCCAAUGUUUAUUUUCGUUUUACUUUCAUUCUUUGUUUUAUUUCAUUCAGUAAUAUUCAGUGAUCGUAUGAAACGAACUUUCAAUUAUUUUUAUACGAAAUGCUUGUGUAUAAAUUAUCAUAUUGAAGAAUCAUUCCAACAAAUCACUUUAUAAUUAAUGUUUUUUUACGUAUUUUUUUAUUGGUGUCGAGAGGCGUAAACGUUUAUAUUAAAAUCUUCAUGUGUAGAUUAAAAAAAUAUUAUUAGCUCAUAUGUUAAUGUUAACUAUGUCGAAAGAGUUUCCAAGGUAAACCAAUUAAACAAUCGAAAUCUAUUCCGUAUUGUUAGAUAAACUACUUAAAAGCGAGAGCUAUUAAAUUUGACCGAGUUUGCGGUACAAGCCAUAUUAUCACAAUGACAGUAGUCACUGUACUGAUUCAUAUAGAAAUAUACUUUUUCUAGAAGAUUCAUACAUUUCCAAUCACAUCAUUCCUUUUACGAUACGAAGGCUAUCUCUUACAAUCUUGUUGAUAGAGCUAUCAGAUUAUCGCAUUUCAAAUAUCAUACUCAUAAUAUAAAAUUGGUGAAAAAGUUACUAAAAAAUAACGGUUAGCCUGACGACAUUAGCCCAAAAACCAUACAACAUAGAUUACACUGCAUACACACUGAACAAAAGAUAAUAGAUAAAAAAUUAUUAUGUCAUUAACAAAUGAAUUAAUAAAUUUUCUAAGUUUAUUAUAUUAGGCAAGAAUAAAUAGCUCUAUGUGCAAAGUCAUUUAUGAAAUCAAUUAUCAGAAUUGCAAUAUAUCAUUCGUUGAAAAAAUAACUCGAAUACUACAUAAAUGUAGAAAUUAACGCAAACUCUAUUUAGAAAACAAUGAUAGUAAAUCAAUAUUAGCACAACAUACGUUGGAAGAGAAACACAAUAUUAAUUUUGAUAAAGUUGAAUUAUUAGAUGGCGAAAACAACAAACCGAAACUUGCAUUUUCCGAGACGCUCCAUAUCUAUAAUAACAAAUACAGUCUAAAUAAAGUCUACGAUACUAUUAAGUUGAAAAGCAGCUUUAAGACUUCUGUGGGCAUAGUUAACACAGUCGUUUUUUAACAAAUCUCGGAUCGUACGCAUCCGAAAAAACGACAACGUAAUUAUUAGCCUAAUCAAUAGCUUCCAUACGCACACACAUAUCUUGCGGUUUGAGUCACCUUAUUGCUGUCUAUUCAUGUUUUCCUUUCACUUUGACUUCACGGCCCAACCCAAUUUCUUAUCCCUAUCUUUAAUGUUCUAAGUACUUCAAUCCCUCCAAAGCCACUGAACCACCGUUUGUUCAUUCUGACUCUCGCUAGAUAUCUUCUAGCAUGAAAGUAAAAUUAUCGAUGUACAUUUAUCACAAUAUUGACUUUUAUCGUUCUAAAUACGAUACCGCAAGAAUUGUAGGUGUUGAAAGUUCAAUUAAAAAAUGUAUUUAAUUGUUUGCACAAGUCUUGGCUUGCUUUUCAAUUUUUACACAAUUAAUCUCCAUUUGGUGUGCUUACUAAAUGUAUUGACAUUAAUGUAUUGAGAGGUAUUUAACUAACUGCAAAAGUGCGAAUUAUGCAUGAAUUAUUUAAUGAAUGGUGAGACAUGUACUUUGUGAUUUCGAUAUAAUUGAUUAUAAUUUUUAUUCGUUGCUUUAGAUAUCGCGAACAAGAAAACACGAAGAGUUUUCGAAACAUAUGUGGAAAUUUUUAAGUAAAUAAAAAUUGCUCAGUAGGAUUCGAUUGAUUAAUUGCAAACCACUAACACAAUUAGUGGCAUUACGAGUAUUCUGAAAGAAAAAGAAGCCAUAUUUGAAAAUUUCGUUAAAGGAAAAGAGAUUGUGAGAAAAUAUUCGCUAAAAAUGUUUUCGUCAGAGCGUAUUUCUUUUACAUCCUCGAUCUCUCUGUCCAACCAGAGUGUAGUAUAAAGACAAACUAAACUCUUCCGUCAACCGCAGGCGUACACACAGAAAAGGGACUAAAAUACUAGGUAGUCGAAAUGUAUAAUGUAUCGAGGUGUCAUAAUUUCUGCUUACCUGGAACACACUUGCAAAGAAUAAACUCGCCGAGGAAGAAUAAAGAUACUUAUAUUUAACCUUUUUUUCUCGUUGACAUCUCUUGAAGGUGGCGUUCAAAAAAAUUGAAAGAUUUAGAGAUUGAUAUAUAAACUCGUCGUUGUACAUAAUAUGGUGUUUGAAUGAUUAUUCAAAAUUGUUGGUGAAUGCAUUUCUAAAUUUUGUAUAAUCAGUUCCAUGUUACAUAGGUUGAUAAAUUACGAACUCGCGAUUGGAAGGUAAUUAUUUAUAGUCAAUAUAAAUUUCUCAUUCAUAUAAAAAAUUUGUAAUUGAAAUUUUAUAAUUUUUACAAUUACAAGGUUAAACAUACCGAACCAAUUGUGCUUCUCUGGCACUAAAACUGAGAUGAAUGUAGGCAUGCAUAUAUUAAAAAAUGUAAAAAAUUGAAAUACGAAGUCUCAAGUCAUUAGAAACUGAAGCACUGUAAAUAAUACUCCAACAAAUAAAGAAAUGUUUUUAGCUAUGCAGUAAAAACUUGCAGGGCAACAGGUUUUCACACCAAUCUAUAAAUAAUCAAAAAACAUAAGACCUUUAUUUUUGAAAGCAAUCUUCGUGUUCCAUGCAGCUGUAGAUCGUUUUCUGUAAAUUCCUCAUCUAAAUUAAAGUAACAAGUUGCCUUCAUUCACAUUCCAUUUCUACUUUCCUAUCGGAAACAAACUAUAAAACACUCGUCAACAACUGUUUUGAUGAUUAUAACUACAAACUAUUUUUCAACAAAACAAUAAAAAAAGUAAGAGAAAAUGAAUAUAAAUGGCAAUAAGGUACUUAGUACUGUAUGUUAAUACACUAUAAUUUUUUAAUGAUUGCAUUAGUCUGAUUUAUAGAACAGCAAAAGAGCUUUCGUUGAACGAAACUAUAUAAUAAAGUAAAUAAGUAUUAUCAAAAUAUUCUGUGAUUGGCUAACUAAAGAAAUAAAUAGCGCUACCGAUCACCUAUUAUGUAUAUAUCAUGCGAAGAUAAAAUCAUCGAGAACCCAUAUAGCCUUCAACACGUUGAUGGACUUUCCAAAGUAACGAAUCAACAGAAAAAACUGAGAUGUACAAAAACCUCUCGUUAUCCACGAACAAUUCUAAAUGUACUAUUUAUAUGCGAAUACUCUUUGUACGUAUAUAAAAACUAUCCUAAAUUGUUUUUGUGAUACUGUUAAAAUAAGCGAACGUUGAGAAAACAAAAACAAAAAUGGAUUUUAUCAAAAAUAUGUAUAUGUACGCAAAUGAGACAAAAAAAAACGAAUGUAAAAUUCUAUAACUGUUGCAAAUAAUAAUUGUACCAUACGACAAAUAUACGAUUGUUUUCUUAUUUUUAUCUCUACUAAACGUGACUGAAAGUGUAAAUAUGAAAAUAUUCCUGUUAGUGUAUAACCAAAACUCAAUAUAACAGUACCUUCGCGAGCUUAUGGCAAUGAAAGCUCCAUCAUGGUAAUUGCAAGGAAUAAUUACACGAGAUACACUUAUAUCCUCGAGUUUCGCCAAGUGUAAGUGCCCAUCGUUCAGAUCCUACGUUCUACGUAAAGGCUGCGCUCAGAUAGUAGAAUCGUUCUACAUGACGUAACGAGUUCGAGUUUACGGUUAAUUAGCCGAUUUAACAUUUCAGUUUUAUAAUAAUAUGCUACUUGAAACGGCUGAAAUAAGCUUAAAAACAUGAAAUCCCUAGAAGUAAUUAACAGUAUAGUCUCAAAUAAAAGUGUCUCUCGAUUUAGAGUAUCGAAUAUGAGGAGCGCACAAAGAAAUGCGUCGUCCGCAAGAUCUGAAAUAAGGGACAAGGAGAAUGAACCAAACGAGGUUUUCGAGUGCAAUAUCGCUGUCCAUUCUUGAGAUGACAAAUUGGCACGCAAUAUUCGGCUGAAAAUCUUGAUGAAACUGAAUGAAACUUUAAUAACACUCCGAAUGAACGUAGAGAAAACUUGAUUUUCAGCCGAGGCAAAGCGUCCCUAUAUGCGCGCAAGCCAGCUGUCUGUUUUGAAGUAAGUAUCCUUGGCGUUGCGCGCGUAGGUUAACUUUCCUUAAUGUAACUUUCAGUAUCAAUACUUUCCGCGAACUGAGGCUUAUACUUACUUCAGUGAAGCUCGAAAACUACUUAGACCUCUUCCGUAACCUACGACGUUGCAGCCGCACACAACAUGGAUACCUCGAUAUAGAUACUUUUUCGUCUCUUGGUCGCCCAGGAAGAAAAAGAAAGUCGAAAGAGAGAGAGAGAACUUCGUCUGUACCGCACGUCCACCAUAUAAAUAAUAAAAACUCGCAGUUCUGUGCUAUAUGCUCUGUCAUGUAUCGACAAUGAGGCAGUGUUUUCUCAGAGUGAAACUCGUAAAAAACGCGAUACUGGAUAAGGAUAUUGCAAGUUUCGUGUUUUUUCCUAUCUCGCGGGGGAAGAUCGUCCAGUUAGGAAAUAUCUUUUCUGUAUUUACAAGCCACUAAUAUAGUAUACGCACGCAAAAAAUGGGUUUUGUGAUGAUUGUUACUGAUGAUAAAUAAAGAAGCUUACAGGUGAAAG